GACGAACGCUGGCGGCGUGCUUAACACAUGCAAGUCGAACGGAAAGGCCCUGCUUUUGUGGGGUGCUCGAGUGGCGAACGGGUGAGUAACACGUGAGUAACCUGCCCUUGACUUUGGGAUAACUUCAGGAAACUGGGGCUAAUACCGGAUAGGAGCUCCUGCUGCAUGGUGGGGGUUGGAAAGUUUCGGCGGUUGGGGAUGGACUCGCGGCUUAUCAGCUUGUUGGUGGGGUAGUGGCUUACCAAGGCUUUGACGGGUAGCCGGCCUGAGAGGGUGACCGGCCACAUUGGGACUGAGAUACGGCCAAGACGCAUACGGGAGGCAGCAGUGGGGAAUAUUGCACAAUGGGCGGAAGCCUGAUGCAGCAACGCCGCGUGCGGGAUGACGGCCUUCGGGUUGUAAACCGCUUUCGCCUGUGACGAAGCGUGAGUGACGGUAAUGGGUAAAGAAGCACCGGCUAACUACGU
rnacentral:rRNA from 1 species